GACGAACGCUGGCGGCGUGCUUAACACAUGCAAGUCGAACGGAAAGGCCCUGCUUGCAGGGUACUCGAGUGGCGAACGGGUGAGUAACACGUGGGUGAUCUGCCCUGCACUUCGGGAUAAGCUUGGGAAACUGGGUCUAAUACCGGAUAGGAACCAUCUUGAGUGUGGUGGUUGGAAAGUUUUUUCGGUGUAGGAUGAGCUCGCGGCCUAUCAGCUUGUUGGUGGGGUAAUGGCCUACCCAGGCGGCGACGGGUAGCCGGCCUGAGAGGGUGUACGGCCACAUUGGGCCUGUGAUACAGCCCAGACUCCUGCGUGUGGCAGCAGUGGGGAAUAUUUCACAAUGGGCGCCAGCCUGAGGCAGCGACGCCGCGUGGUGGAUGAAGGCCUUCGGGUUGUAAACUCCUUUCGCUAGGGACGAAGCUUUGUUGUGACGGUACCUAGAUAAGAAGCACCGGCUAACUACGUG
rnacentral:rRNA from 1 species